UGGCCUUGACAUGCAGAGAACUUUCCAGAGAUGGAUUGGUGCCUUCGUGAACUCUGACACAGGUGGUGCAUGGCUGUUGUCAGCUUGUGUCGUGAGAUGUUGGGUUAAGUCCCGUAACGAGCGCAACCCUUGUCCUUAGUUACCAGCACCUCGGGUGGGCACUCUAAGGAGACUGCCGGUGACAAACCGGAGGAAGGUGGGGAUGACGUCAAGUCAUCAUGGCCCUUACGGCCAGGGCUACACACGUGAUACAAUGGUCGGUACAGAGGGUUGCCAAGCCGCGAGGUGGAGCUAAUCCCAUAAAACCGAUCGUCCGGAUCGCA
rnacentral:rRNA from 1 species